rnacentral:rRNA from 1 species
GACGUAGGGGGCCAGCGUUGUUCGGAAUUACUGGGUGUAAAGGGUGCGCAGGCGGUUGUGCAAGACAGAUGUGAAAUCCCCGGGCUCAACCUGGGAAUUGCAUUUGUGACUGCACGGCUAGAGUGUGUCAGAGGGGGGUAGAAUUCCACGUGUAGCAGUGAAAUGCGUAGAGAUGUGGAGGAAUACCGAUGGCGAAGGCAGCCCCCUGGGAUAACACUGACGCUCAUGCACGAAAGCGUGGGGAGCAAACGGG